rnacentral:rRNA from 1 species
GGAUCAGUAGGUCGGUCAUGCCUCCGGUAUGUACUGGUCUCACUGGUUCCUCCUUCCUGAUGAACCGUAAUGCCAUUAAUUUGGUGUUGCGGGGAAACUGGACUGUUACUUUGAAAAAUUAGAGUGUUUAAAGCAAGCUAACGCUUGAAUACAUUAGCAUGGAAUAAUGAAAUAGGACGCUCGAUCCUAUUUUGUUGGUUUCUAGGAUUGACGUAAUGAU